rnacentral:lncRNA from 1 species
ACGCGCAGUGUUUAACGGCCGGUCAGGAACCCAACAAUUAGUCCCUUCUCGUCCGAGAGGAAACUCUGUGAGAAGAUGGGACCGUGAGCACUCUCUUUAACAAGGACAUUUCCUUUUCAGCGAAAGCAGCGCUCUGAUUUACCAAGUCUGGCGGACCGCAGCGCUUUAAAGGAAUGAGGUUCCAGCGGUCGCGCCAAGCAGCGUACGCAGCCUAUUUUAAGUUAUGCUACCUUCGCCACAGAAACCAAGAACGUUGUAAUGGUCCGGCAAGUGCCCACGUAUAAUUGUUCUCCAUCACUUACCCACUCUAGUUCGGGAACACCCUUGUCGCCGCCGUUCCGGUAACACCUCUCCAACGCUUUCGAUGCUUCUACUUCUUCGGGAACAAGACAAGAUGGCGCCCGAUUUGUCUCACCCGGAAGUAAAGAAUAAUAACAUCCGUUUGUCAUCUGAAGCCAUACCAUCUCUCAUCCAGGUUUGUGAACACGUGAUUGUGCGGAUUGACAUGUUUCGGCGCCAUUUUUUUUGUGGGCAAAACCAUCUCUACUCUGGUCAACACCGGGCAACUGAACCAUUCCUGCACGUUACUUUUUAACGUAGCUGGCGCCAUUCCCGACCCAUCUUUAUAGUGGCCAGAAAGCCAAGAACGUAAGUGUUCUACACAUAGGGCGCCUUCAAAUUUUUUACUUUAGCAACGUGAUCUUCCUUUAAGGGGAAGUAUGUUCCCUCCUAGAAACACUCCCGCCUUGGAGAAGGGGUUGAGUUCGCAACUCCACUUACAGACUACGGAGGAACCCCAGGGUCAAACCAAACCAAACCAAUUCUGGCCAGUUGCUUAGCGCAGUUCAAGUUACUUAGUGCGCUGGAAGCGGCAUUUCAGGCAAUCCAACUUCUGGCUCGAACCUUCUCGGAGUAUUCCAAGGAUGGAAUACUCUCACUUGAGCGCUGCCGAGGGUGCCGCUUGAGGAAAACGUGAGUUUGUGAAGAAUGUUUGUUGCAGAUACAGUUCCACCACUGUACAUUAAGUAUGUGGAAAACAGAAGAUAUCCUUUUGGUUCCUGGGUCUCCAGAACAGUAGGAGCAAACAUCCAAAUCUGAUAUAGCACUUCCAGAGAGCCUGGUCUUGGAGGAUAAAACUUUACCUUGAUGGGACUUUUGGCCCCGGUCCCUUAAGAGUUGGGAUUUGGGGUUGUACUGCAGCACAACUCAGCCUAUCCUAAUACAUAUGGGAAUGCAAACAUCUCAGAUAUUUCUUCUUGGGUGCAAUUUAAAAUACGUAUGAAAUGGCUUCAGAAGUGUCCAUGAACCUUCAAAAUUACAUACAAGAAUUAGGGAGAUACAUUUUUCUGGGAACAUACAGAUGUUAAGACUUCCCUUCUCCGUCUCUAUAUUGCCAGAAGAGAGGGCCCCAGAAUUAAAACCCCAUCCUUCCUACAACACUCAGCUUUCUCUUUCAGGAAUAUCAGUACUAAUAUCACCAUGCCUUUUAUCUCUAGGAUAUCUUCAUCCCCUGUACCUUAAUUUCUGCAUGACUUCAUAGGGAGUCCAUAUUGCUUGAUUUUUCUCCAUAUCAUUACCAUUGACAUAAAUUUUCCUUACAUUCUUAGAAUGUGUAUUUCCUCACCUUUUAGAUUUCUGGCUCUUAUGUUGACUGCUGUAUCCCUAGUACCUACCACACAACAGGUAUUCAACAAAUACUUUUUUUUUUUUGAGACAGUCUCUGUCACCCAGGCUGGAGUGCAGUGGUACUAUCUUGGCUCAGUGCAACCUCUGCCUCCCGGGUUCAAGCGAUUCUCCUGCCUCAGCCUCCCAAGUAGCAGGGAUUACAGGCCUGUGCCACCAUGCCCAGCUAAUUUUUGUAUUUUUAGUAGAGAUGGGUUUUUGUCAUGUUGGCCAGGCUGGUCUCGAACUCCUGGUCUCAGGUGAUUUGCCCACUUUGGCCACCCAAAGUGCUGGGAUUACAGGCAUGAGCCACUGUGCCUGGCCUAAAAAAUACUUACUAAAUGACUAAACAAAUAAAAGAUAGUCUCUAACUUUCAUCAUAAUCUCAAAGAGCUUCAUGAUCUGGAAGAAGUUUAGACACAAAUGGGUAGGCAAAGUAUUUCUUAAUUGCUGGUGCAAGACCUUACCCUUGUCUUAAUAAUUAUCCUGUCUAAGUAAUACACCUUUUAAGAAACCCCUGAAAGGAAGAUGAUCGUCCUUGGUAGAUACUGAAAUCUGAGGUAAAGUGGCCCAUAAACUGUUUUGAAAUAGAGAAUUUCUAAAAUAUGUAGGGUAUUUUGAAUAUAGCUGAGAAAGCUGCUAUGAACUGAAGGUUUACGUCCCCUACAACAUUCACAAAUCCCAAAUGUGAUGGUAUUUGGAGAUAGGGCCUUUGAGAAGUGAUUAGGUCAUGAGGAUGGAACCCUCAUGAAUGGGCUGCAUGGAAAAGGACCCACAGAGAUGCCUUGUACUUUUCCCAUGUGAGGACACAGCAAGAAAGCACUGUCUUUAUGAACAGAAGUGGGCCCUCACCAGACCCCAAGUCUGCUGGCACCUUGAUCUUGAAGUUCCCAGCUCCCAGAACUGUGAGAAAUAAAUUUUUGUUAAUACACCACAUA